ACACAUGCAAGUCGAGCGGUAACAGGGGUAGCUUGCUACCCGCUGACGAGCGGCGGACGGGUGAGUAACGCGUGAGAAUCUGCCCAUCAGUGGGGGAUAACCCGGGGAAACUCGGGCUAAUACCGCAUACGUCCUACGGGACAAAGCAGGGGACCUUUUGGCCUUGCGCUGAUGGAUGAGCUCGCGUCGGAUUAGCUUGUUGGUGAGGUAAAGGCUCACCAAGGCGACGAUCCGUAGCUGGUCUGAGAGGAUGAUCAGCCACACCGGGACUGAGACACGGCCCGGACUCCUACGGGAGGCAGCAGUGGGGAAUCUUGGACAAUGGGGGCAACCCUGAUCCAGCCAUGCCGCGUGUGUGAAGAAGGCCUUCGGGUUGUAAAGCACUUUCAGUAGGGAGGAAGGCUUUCGGUUAAUACCCGGGAGUACUUGACGUUACCUACAGAAGAAGCACCGGCUAAUUUCGUGCCAGCAGCCGCGGUAAUACGAAAGGUGCAAGCGUUAAUCGGAAUUACUGGGCGUAAAGCGCGCGUAGGCGGUGUGUUAAGUCGGAUGUGAAAGCCCAGGGCUCAACCUUGGAAUUGCAUCCGAUACUGGCACGCUAGAGUGCAGUAGAGGGAGGUGGAAUUUCCGGUGUAGCGGUGAAAUGCGUAGAGAUCGGAAGGAACACCAGUGGCGAAGGCGGCCUCCUGGACUGACACUGACGCUGAGGUGCGAAAGCGUGGGGAGCAAACAGGAUUAGAUACCCUGGUAGUCCACGCCGUAAACGAUGUCUACUAGCCGUCGGGAUCCUUAGUGAUCUUGGUGGCGCAGCUAACGCGAUAAGUAGACCGCCUGGGGAGUACGGCCGCAAGGUUAAAACUCAAAUGAAUUGACGGGGGCCCGCACAAGCGGUGGAGCAUGUGGUUUAAUUCGAUGCAACGCGAAGACCUUACCAGGUCUUGACAUCCUCGGAAUUGGCAGAGAUGCCUUAGUGCCUUCGGAGCCGAGUGACAGUGCUGCAUGCCGUCGUCAGCUCGUGUCGUGAGAUGUGGGUUAAGUCCGUAACGAGCGCAACCUUUGUCCUUAGUGCAGCACGUAUGGUGACUCUAGGGAGAACUGCGGUGACAUCUGGAGAGGUGGGACGACGUCAGUCAUCAUGGCCUUACGACUUGGCUUACCACGUGGCUCAAGUGGCGUGUACCAGAGGUGUGCCAGC
rnacentral:rRNA from 1 species